GAGGGGCAGCAUGAGCUAGCAAUAGCUUGAUGGCGACCGGCAAACGGGUGCGGAACACGUACAGAAUCUACCUUUAUCUGGGGCAUAGCCCGAAGAAAUUCGGAUUAAUACCCCAUAAUAUAUUUAAGUGGCAUCACUUUGAAUAUUAAAACUCCGGUGGAUAGAGAUGACUGUGCGUCCCAUUAGCUAGUUGGUAGGGUAACGGCCUACCAAGGCGACGAUGGGUAGCUGGUGUGAGAGCACGACCAGCCACACGGGCACUGAGACACGGGCCCGACUCCUACGGGAGGCAGCAGUGAGGAAUAUUGGUCAAUGGACGCAAGUCUGAACCAGCCAUGCCGCGUGAAGGAUGAAGGCGUUCUGCGUUGUAAACUUCUUUUAUCUGGGAAGAAACCUACGAUUUCUAUUGUAGCCGACGGUACCAGAAGAAUAAGCACCGGCUAACUCCGUGCCAGCAGCCGCGGUAAUACGGAGGGUGCAAGCGUUAUCCGGAUUCACUGGGUUUAAAGGGUGUGUAGGCGGAUAUUUAAGUCAGUGGUGAAAUCUCCGGGCUCAACCCGGAAACUGCCAUUGAUACUAUUUAUCUUGAAUUCUGUUGAGGUAGGCGGAAUACAUCAUGUAGCGGUGAAAUGCUUAGAGAUGAUGUAGAACACCGAUUGCGAAGGCAGCUUACUAAACAGAUAUUGACGCUGAGGCACGAAAGCGUGGGGAUCAAACAGGAUUAGAUACCCUGGUAGUCCACGCCCUAAACGAUGAUUACUCGACAUACGCGAUAUUACUGUGUGUGUCUGAGCGAAAGCAUUAAGUAAUCCACCUGGGAAGUACGUCCGCAAGGAUG
rnacentral:rRNA from 1 species